rnacentral:lncRNA from 1 species
UGAAGCUUUAAGAUCAUGAGUCAGGAAAACUCCAGUCCUGGGGGAAACAUUUCCUGUCAUUACUUUGAGAGGGCAGGAAGGGAAAAGGGGGUUUUGGGGGAGAUCUCAUAGAAAGGGAGAGAUGUUAGCUCUUUGCCAGGUACCAAGGUGGACCUUUGUUGGAGGAAAGGACCCCCACUCUUCCUUAAAGAACUCUCAGAUCUAUUAAGUUGAAAAACCGAGGGAAAUUCAGCAAAAGACAAAGCGGGGGUAGCACGGGGUUGGCCAAUAGGAUCUUUGGACCAAUUGGGGUUGUCUCUUCUCUCUCCUGCACGCAGGCUAAGGCUCCUUUCUCGAGGUCUGGAGCUCAAGCCCUGGCUGGCUUCUCCACUCGAAUCAGUGGCCAGACACACAUGGAACUCAAAAAACUCAAGGCUUUUGGAUUUUGAAUGGAGGAGGCCUAAGCGUCUGGGCUGAUGUUUCCAAACGCCAUUGGUUGCGGCAGGGCGAUUACAUCACCCCGGAGAGCUUUGGGAGGGAGAAAAGCUGGGAGGGAGGAAAUACUAAGAGAGGGAGAGAGAGAGGAGUGUCAGAGCCGUGCCUAGAGAGACACUGAGAUCGAGAGAAAGAGAAAGAAGACUGGAACGAGCGUUAGGAAUUGUCAUGGGCUCCCCAAAUGGGAGGCGAACCGAGUCCGUGGAAGGAAGAGCAACGGUGAAACUGGGGGAAACUCGACAAGCCAAACAGAACGGACUCUGGUGACCGAGGUCUGUGCUUUUAGGAAGAUCUCUUUGGCACCUGUGUGGAGUAUGGAGUGGAAAAUGGAAAAACUGGAAGAAGGAAGACACUUCUGCGAUCUCUUGAAACAGUCCAGGCUAGAGACCCUGCUGUUAUAUUUUCUUCUUCAUCCCAUCCUCAUCGUGAUCCAGAUACAGAAAUCUUCAUCCUGCAUUUGACUUUGGGAGGGCC